UACGUAGGGGGCUAGCGUUGUCCGGAUUUAUUGGGCGUAAAGAGCGUGUAGGCGGCCAUGUAGGUCCGGUGUGAAAACUCGAGGCUUAACCUCGAGAUGUCAUCGGAAACCAUUUGGCUAGAGUCCGGAAGAGGAGAGUGGAAUUCCUGGUGUAGCGGUGAAAUGCGUAGAUAUCUGGAGGAACACCGGUGGCGAAGGCGGCAUCCUGGACCGCU
rnacentral:rRNA from 1 species